ensembl:snRNA U6 U6 spliceosomal RNA
GUGCCUGCUUCAGUAGCUCAUAUACUAAAAUCAGAACAAUACUAAAAAGAUUAGCAGGACCCCUGCGCAAGGAUCACAUGCAAAUUUAUGAGGCAUUCCAUGUGACC